rnacentral:rRNA from 1 species
UUGAACGCUGGCGGCAUGCUUUACACAUGCAAGUCGAACGGUAACAGGUUAAGCUGACGAGUGGCGAACGGGUGAGUAAUACAUCGGAACGUGCCUAGUAGUGGGGGAUAACUACUCGAAAGAGUAGCUAAUACCGCAUGAGAUCUACGGAUGAAAGCAGGGGACCUUCGGGCCUUGUGCUACUAGAGCGGCCGAUGGCAGAUUAGGUAGUUGGUGGGAUAAAAGCUUACCAAGCCGACGAUCUGUAGCUGGUCUGAGAGGACGACCAGCCACGCUGGGACUGAGACACGGCCCAGACUCCUACGGGAGGCAGCAGUGGGGAAUUUUGGACAAUGGGCGAAAGCCUGAUCCAGCAAUGCCGCGUGCAGGAUGAAGGCCUUCGGGUUGUAAACUGCUUUUGUACGGAACGAAAAAGCUCCUUCUAAUACAGGGGGCCCAUGACGGUACCGUAAGAAUAAGCACCGGCUAACUACGUGCCAGCCGCCGCAGUAAAAC